ACUACUUUUGUUAAUUCAGACCAUUUAUAAAAUCCAUGAAAUGUAAUGCAUGAUGAGAUAUACAAUAAACAGAUAAAUCCUAUGGUUGGGAUUACCUUUGACCAAUGUUAUUUAUCUUCAAUUUCAAUUUCUUUUGUGUAAAACAGGCACAACAACACUUUGAUGAGUUUGAUACUAAUUACGAAGAAGAAGAAGUGGAGGUUGUUGAUGAGUUUGACAGUGACUUUGAUGAAGAUGGAUCUGAGCCAGAUGAUGAGGAGGAAAAUGAUGUUGAUGAGAGGACAUGGACUAAGAAGCGGUGAAUAUUUCCAGGACGCAAAUCAUGGACGGUCAACAUUUAUGG